rnacentral:lncRNA from 1 species
GUCCGAGGUCCCUCACCCGGGAAAGGAAACGUAAGAAGAAUUGAAAAAUAAUUCACAGGGAAUGUGAUUCCCAUGAUGCGUUCACCUGUGUCCUGCUCAGAACACAUCCAGGAUCAUUUCAGCGCUGAUAGACUGUUCAAGGAGAUGCAGCCUAACUCAAGGAGGGUAUAACCACCCCUAAGAAAAAUUCGUCAUGCUCCUCCUCUUUCCUUCUCCAGUUUUGUUC